UACGUAGGGUGCAAGCGUUGUCCGGAAUUAUUGGGCGUAAAGAGCUCGUAGGCGGUUUGUCGCGUCGGGAGUGAAAACACUGGGCUUAACUCAGUGCUGGCUUUCGAUACGGGCAGACUAGAGGUAUGCAGGGGAGAACGGAAUUCCUGGUGUAGCGGUGAAAUGCGCAGAUAUCAGGAGGAACACCGGUGGCGAAGGCGGUUCUCUGGGCAUUACCUGACGCUGAGGAGCGAAAGUGUGGGGAGCGAACAGG
rnacentral:rRNA from 1 species